rnacentral:rRNA from 1 species
AACGAACGCUGGCGGCAGGCUUAAUACAUGCAAGUCGAACGCCCCUUUCGGGGGGAGUGGCAGACGGGUGAGUAACGCGUGGGAACGUGCCCAAAGGUAGGGAGCAACUCCGGGAAACUGGAGCUAAUACCCUAUGUGCCCGAGAGGGGAAAGAUUUAUCGCCUUUGGAUCGGCCCGCGUUGGAUUAGCUAGUUGGUGGGGUAAAAGCCUACCAAGGCGACGAUCCAUAGCUGUUCUGAGAGGAAGAUCAGCCACACUGGGACUGAGACACGGCCCAGACUCCUACGGGAGGCAGCAGUAGGGAAUCUUGGACAGUGGGCGCAAGCCUGAUCCAGCCAUGCCGCGUGAGUGUUGAAGGCCUUAGGGUUGUAAAACUCUUUCGCAGGUGACGAUAAUGACGGUAACCUGAGAAGAAGCCCCGGCUAACUUCGUGCCAGCCGCCGCCGUAA